UGGGCGUGCUGGACAUCGCAGUCGUACCCUUUGUCUUUAAUUGAUCUGACGAGCUUGCUCUGAUUUGAUUUUAUCUGACAAAGAGUGGCGAACGGGUGAGUAACACGUGGGUAACCUACCUCUUAGCAGGGGAUAACAUUUGGAAACAAGUGCUAAUACCGUAUAAUACCAACAACCGCAUGGUUGUUGGUUGAAAGAUGGUUCUGCUAUCACUAAGAGAUGGACCCGCGGUGCAUUAGCUAGUUGGUAAGGUAACGGCUUACCAAGGCAAUGAUGCAUAGCCGAGUUGAGAGACUGAUCGGCCACAAUGGGACUGAGACACGGCCCAUACUCCUACGGGAGGCAGCAGUAGGGAAUCUUCCACAAUGGGCGCAAGCCUGAUGGAGCAACGCCGCGUGUGUGAUGAAGGGUUUCGGCUCGUAAAACACUGUUAUAAGAGAAGAACGGCACUGAGAGUAACUGUUCAGUGUGUGACGGUAUCUUACCAGAAAGGAACGGCUAAAUACGUGCCAGCAGCCGCGGUAAUACGUAUGUUCCAAGCGUUAUCCGGAUUUAUUGGGCGUAAAGCGAGCGCAGACGGUUAUUUAAGUCUGAAGUGAAAGCCCUCAGCUCAACUGAGGAAUGGCUUUGGAAACUGGAUGACUUGAGUGCAGUAGAGGAAAGUGGAACUCCAUGUGUAGCGGUGAAAUGCGUAGAUAUAUGGAAGAACACCAGUGGCGAAGGCGGCUUUCUGGACUGUAACUGACGUUGAGGCUCGAAAGUGUGGGUAGCAAACAGGAUUAGAUACCCUGGUAGUCCACACCGUAAACGAUGAGUGCUAGAUGUUCGAGGGUUUCCGCCCUUGAGUGUCGCAGCUAACGCAUUAAGCACUCCGCCUGGGGAGUACGACCGCAAGGUUGAAACUCAAAGGAAUUGACGGGACCGCACAAGCGGUGGAGCAUGUGGUUUAA
rnacentral:rRNA from 1 species